rnacentral:lncRNA from 1 species
AAAUUAGGAAAUCAAUAUCAUUUUUGCCAUUGUAAAUUUAUGAAUUGUUAGUAAAAUUACCAGCAUGUUGCGGCGGACUGAUGCUAUAAAAGACGGAAGAUUGACAAAGUAAAAAGUUUUAAAAUUUUUUGAUUUAUUAUGAGAAGUCAAUAAAUAUAUAUAGAAAAUAUGAAACAGAUACAGCAAAAUUUAUAAUUUUAGAAAAUAAAUUACACAUAACAAUAAUAAAAAAAUAGUAAUAGAACACUACUCUAUACGCAUCUUAAUUGCGCCGCUGAUAUUAGAAAGGCGAAUCCUGAUUUUCACGUCACAUUCGUCACCGUUGUCAGCGUCGAGCUCCUCUUUGAUUACGGCUACGUCGAACCCGUAUAGAUCUCUCCAGACCCAUCGCUUUUCUUCCCUCACCGACUUCAAAUUCAUUGCUAUUUCCUCCCACCGUGUCGUGCCGCGAUUCUCAUAAGCCUAAUUUCAUCCCCACCCAAUUUUUAAAAAAAAAGACAAAAAAUUAAGAAAAUUAUAAAAUAUGAAUCAUUUUUUUGUCCCCUGUAAAAAAAGAAAAAAAAAUUGUUUCUUCUGUGAAAUUGAUUUACUUAGAUGAUAAUAAAUCAUGUGAACAUAUUAAUUAAGAAGUGGCAGGUAGAAAGACGAAACAUCGUACGGUGACGAAAGAUAAUAAAUUUGAUCAUGUGGAAGGAGGUAGAAGGCAAAAGUGAAUAAGGUAAUCUAGUUUAGGUU